UACGAAGGGGGCGAGCGUUGUUCGGAAUUACUGGGCGUAAAGGGCGCGUAGGCGGCCGAUCAAGUUAGAUGUGAAAGUCCUGGGCUUAACCUGGGGACUGCAUUUGAUACUGAUUGGCUUGAAUUCGGGAGAGGAUAGCGGAAUUCCCAGUGUAGAGGUGAAAUUCGUAGAUAUUGGGAAGAACACCGGUGGCGAAGGCGGCUAUCUGGACCGACAUUGACGCUGAGGCGCGAAAGCGUGGGGAGCAAACGGG
rnacentral:rRNA from 1 species